rnacentral:rRNA from 1 species
AACAGGAUUAGAUACCCUGGUAGUCCAUGCCGUAAACGAUGAGUGCUAAGUGUUGGAGGGUUUCCGCCCUUCAGUGCUGCAGCUAACGCAUUAAGCACUCCGCCUGGGGAGUACGACCGCAAGGUUGAAACUCAAAGGAAUUGACGGGGGCCCGCACAAGCGGUGGAGCAUGUGGUUUAAUUCGAUGCUACGCGAAGAACCUUACCAGGUCUUGACAUCUUCUGCUAACCUAAGAGAUUAGGCGUUCCCUUCGGGGACGGAAUGACAGGUGGUGCAUGGUUGUCGUCAGCUCGUGUCGUGAGAUGUUGGGUUAAGUCACGCAACGAGCGCAACCCUUAUUGUCAGUUGCCAGCAUUUAGUUGGGCACUCUGGCGAGACUGCCGGUGACAAACCGGAGGAAGGUGGGGAUGACGUCAAAUCAUCAUGCCCCUUAUGACCUGGGCUACACACGUGCUACAAUGGACGGUACAACGAGUCGCGAAACCGCGAGGUCAAGCUAAUCUCUUAAAGCCGUUCUCAGUUCGGAUUGCAGGCUGCAACUCGCCUGCAUGAAGUUGGAAUCGCUAGUAAUCGUGGAUCAGCAUGCCACGGUGAAUACGUUCCCGGGCCUUGUACACACCGCCUGUCACACCAUGAGAGUUUGUAACACCCAAAGCCGGUGAGGUAACCUUCGGGAACCAGCCGUCUAAGGUGGGACAGAUGAUUAGGGUGAAGUCGUAACAAGGUAACC